UCUGGUUGAUCCUGCCAGAGGUUACUGCUAUCGAGGUUCGACUAAGCCAUGCGAGUCGAAUGUAGCAAUACAUGGCGUACUGCUCAGUAACACGUGGACAACCUACCCUCCGGACGGGUAUAAACCCGGGAAACUGGGUAUAAUCCCCGAUAGAUCUCGGUCGCUGGAAUGCCCCGAGAUCGAAAGCUCCGGCGCCAGAGGAUGGGUCUGCGGCCUAUCAGGUAGUAGUGGGUGUAGCGUACCUACUAGCCUACGACGGGUACGGGUUGUGAGAGCAAGAGCCCGGAGAUGGAUUCUGAGACACGAAUCCAGGCCCUACGGGGUGCAGCAGGCGCGAAAACUUACAAUGCCGGCAACGGCGAUAAGGGGACCUCGAGUGCCAGGUUACAAAUCUGGCUGUCGUGAUGCCUAAAAAGCAUUGCAUAGCAAGGGCCGGGCAAGACCGGUGCCAGCCGCCGCGGUAACACCGGCGGCUCGAGUGGUAACCGUUAUUAUUGGGUCUAAAGGGUCUGUAGCCGGCCGGAUAAGUCUCUUGAGAAAUCCAGCAGCUCAACUGUUGGGCUUUCAGGAGAUACUGUUCGGCUCGAGGCCGGGAGAGGUGAGAGGUACUUCAGGGGUAGGGGUGAAAUCUUGUAAUCCG
rnacentral:rRNA from 1 species